rnacentral:rRNA from 1 species
UACGGAAGGCAGCAGUGGGGAAUAUUGCACAAUGGGCGCAAGCCUGAUGCAGCCAUGCCGCGUGUAUGAAGAAGGCCUUCGGGUUGUAAAGUACUUUUCAGCGGGGAGGAAGGCGAUGUGGUUAAUAACCGCGUCGAUUGACGUUACCCGCAGAAGAAGCACCGGCUAACUCCGUGCCAGCAGCCGCGGUAAUACGGAGGGUGCAAGCGUUAAUCGGAAUUACUGGGCGUAAAGCGCACGCAGGCGGUCUGUUAAGUCAGAUGUGAAAUCCCCGGGCUUAACCUGGGAACUGCAUUUGAACUGGCAGGCUUGAGUCUCGUAGAGGGGGUAGAAGUUCCAGGUGUAGCGGUGAAAUGCGUAGAGAUCUGGAGGAAUACCGGUGGCGAAGGCGGCCCCUGGGACGAAGACUGACGCUCAGGUGCGAAAGCGUGGGGAGCAAACGAGGAUUAGGAUACC